GGCAGUCAAGUCUAUGAUCAUUAUUUGAUAAUGAUCAAGGACAUUAAGGAGCUUGAAAGGCUCGACAUGACUGUGCAUAAGAAAUUAUUUGUGGAUUUGAUCCUGUGAACUCUGUUUAGUUUAUAUAGAUAGUUUAUCGUAAACUACCAUAUGAAAGACCAUCUUGGUAUCUUAUCUGAAUUGGUCAAAUUGUUGCUAAUAAAGAAAUCUUGAAAGAGUUCAGAGAUAAAUACCUGA
rnacentral:lncRNA from 1 species